rnacentral:tRNA from 1 species
GCCUCGGUAGUUUAACGGCUAGAAUAUGACCCUGUCGCGGUCAAGACCCGGGUUCGACUCCCGGUCGGGGCG